rnacentral:rRNA from 1 species
AUUGAACGCUGGCGGCAGGCCUAACACAUGCAAGUCGAACGGUAACAGGAAGAAGCUUGCUUCUUUGCUGACGAGUGGCGGACGGGUGAGUAAUGUCUGGGAAACUGCCUGAUGGAGGGGGAUAACUACUGGAAACGGUAGCUAAUACCGCAUAACGUCGCAAGACCAAAAAGGGGGACCUUCGGGCCUCUUGCCAUCGGAUGUGCCCAGAUGGGAUUAGCUAGUAGGUGGGGUAACGGCUCACCUAGGCGACGAUCCCUAGCUGGUCUGAGAGGAUGACCAGCCACACUGGAACUGAGACACGGUCCAGACUCCUACGGGAGGCAGCAGUGGGGAGUAUUGCACAAUGGGCGCAAGCCUGAUGCAGCCAUGCCGCGUGUAUGAAGAAGGCCUUCGGGUUGUAAAGUACUUUCAGCGGGGAGGAAGGGAGUAAAGUUAAUACCUUUGCUCAUUGACGUUACCCGCAGAAGAAGCACCGGCUAACUCCGUG